CCUACGGGAGGCAGCAGUGGGGGAUAUUGCACAAUGGGGGGAACCCUGAUGCAGCGACGCCGCGUGGGUGAAGGAGCGUUUCGGCGCGUAAAGCCCUAUCGGCAGGGAAGAAGGAGGACGGUACCUGACUAAGAAGCCCCGGCUAACUACGUGCCAGCAGCCGCGGUAAUACGUAGGGGGCGAGCGUUAUCCGGAAUUACUGGGCGUAAAGGGUGCGCAGAUGGCAUAGUAAGUCUGUUGUAAAAAUGCGGGGCUAAACCCGGUAGGGCAAAAGAUACUGCAAGGCUAGAGUGUGACAGAGGCAAGUGGAACUACAUGUGUAGCGGUGAAAUGCGUAGAUAUAUGUAGGAACACCAGUGGCGAAGGCGGCUUGCUGGAUCGCUACUGACGUUGAGGCGCGAAAGCGUGGGGAGCAAACAGGAUUAGAUACCCGUGUAGUC
rnacentral:rRNA from 1 species